CUGGCCCCUAUAGAGCUGGAGUUUGCAAUCUCUACAACAGCCCAGACCCUUGGACCUGAGGAAUCCCAAACCUUCACCAUCAUCUGUGGAGGGCCUGACAUAGCCAUGGUCCUUGCCCAGGACCCUGCACCUGCCACAGUGGAUGCCAAGCCGGAGCUCCUGGACACUCGGAUCCCCAGUGCAUAAGGAUCAAGACAGACAAUGUCGAGGGACAAAAGAUAGAAGAUGGAGGAGGAAAGACAUUAUACGUGGGCUUGGCCCAGCCCCACCGCCCACGCCUGGGUAGUAGCAGUGCCUCCCUCAAGGGCCUGGGUUCUACCACCCCACUCCUAGGGAUCUCUUGAACCUUAGGGGUGACCUGGGCCCAAGUCUCUCAUCAGCCCCCAAUCCCCUGGGUACCAGGCUUCUGCCACCCCCGGCUCAGAUCUUUGCAAAUCAGUACGACAGCCUCAGAGCAGAGCAAGGGUUGUUUGGGAGAAUCAUACCUGGUUCUAAGGAGUCCCACGCUUUUUGCCAAGCCUGGUACUGAGUUCAUGAUACCAUGGUGGACACAGCUGAGAAAAUCCCUGCCCUCAUGGUGCUCAUUCUACUUGAGUAGACGAUGAACUAGUAAACAAAUAAACAAGAACAC
rnacentral:lncRNA from 10 species